rnacentral:rRNA from 1 species
UGAAAGGCGGCCUUUGGCUGUCACUUGCGGAUGGGCCCCCGGCGCAUUAGCUAGUUGGUGAGGUAACGGCUCACCAAGGCGACGAUGCGUAGCCGGCCUGAGAGGGUGACCGGCCACACUGGGACUGAGACCCGGCCCAAACUCCUACGGGAGGCAGCAGUAGGGAAUCUUCCGCAAUGGGCGAAAGCCUGACGGAGCGACGCCGCGUGAGCGAAGAAGGCCUUCGGGUCGUAAAGCUCUGUUGUGAGGGACGAAGGAGCGCCGUUCGAAGAGGGCGGCGCGGUGACGGUACCUCACGAGGAAGCCCCGGCUAACUACGUGCCAGCAGCCGCGGUAAUACGUAGGGGGCGAGCGUUGUCCGGAAUUAUUGGGCGUAAAGCGCGCGCAGGCGGUUCCUUAAGUCUGAUGUGAAAGCCCACGGCUCAACCGUGGAGGGUCAUUGGAAACUGGGGGACUUGAGUGCAGGAGAGGAGAGCGGAAUUCCACGUGUAGCGGUGAAAUGCGUAGAGAUGUGGAGGAACACCAGUGGCGAAGGCGGCUCUCUGGCCUGCAACUGACGCUGAGGCGCGAAAGCGUGGGGAGCAAACAGGAUUA